rnacentral:rRNA from 1 species
UGGGGAAUUUUGGACAAUGGGGGCAACCCUGAUCCAGCAAUGCCGCGUGUGUGAAGAAGGCCUUCGGGUUGUAAAGCACUUUUGGCGGGAGCGAAAGGGCCUGGGCUAAUACCCCGGGUUGAUGACGGUACCCGCAGAAUAAGCACCGGCUAACUACGUGCCAGCAGCCGCGGUAAUACGUAGGGUGCAAGCGUUAAUCGGAAUUACUGGGCGUAAAGCGAGCGCAGGCGGUUGUGUAAGACAGAUGUGAAAUCCCCGGGCUCAACCUGGGAACUGCAUUUGUGACUGCACGGCUAGAGUGCGUCAGAGGGGGGUGGAACUCCACGUGUAGCAGUGAAAUGCGUAGAGAUGUGGAAGAACACCGAUGGCGAAGGCAGCCCCCUGGGAUGACACUGACGCUCAUGCUCGAAAGCGUGGGGAGCAAACAGG